CCUACGGGUGGCAGCAGUGGGGAAUAUUGCACAAUGGGGGGAACCCUGAUGCAGCAACGCCGCGUGGGUGAAGAAGUACUUCGGUAUGUAAAGCCCUGUCAGCAGGGAAGAAAAUGACGGUACCUGACCAAGAAGCCCCGGCUAACUACGUGCCAGCAGCCGCGGUAAUACGUAGGGGGCAAGCGUUAUCCGGAUUUACUGGGUGUAAAGGGAGCGUAGACGGCAAGGCAAGUCUGGAGUGAAAGCCCGGGGCUCAACCACGGGACUGCUUUGGAAACUGUGUGGCUGGAGUGCAGGAGGGGUAAGCGGAAUUCCUAGUGUAGCGGUGAAAUGCGUAGAUAUUAGGAGGAACACCGGUGGCGAAGGCGGCUUACUGGACUGUAACUGACGUUGAGGCUCGAAGGCGUGGGGAGCAAACAGGAUUAGAUACCCUUGUAGUC
rnacentral:rRNA from 1 species